ensembl:lncRNA
AAGCGCAGGAGAUUUUUUAAUGCUCUCUAGGUGAUUCUAAUGUCAGCAAAGAUGGAGAACCACUGAUGUAGUCAGUGAGAAGUAAUAGGGGCUAUUUUUCAGAACAGCGUUUUGAGUUAAUUUGAAAGGAGGGAAAAUCUCAGGGCGAAGGUUAUUGUGGUGAGGUUAUAAGGUGAGGUCAAAGGUUAGCAAGGAGGUCUGGGUGGGCAUGGGGUCAGUUACACAGUAUGCUCUUAAAUGAUAGCGGGUAAAGUGAGCUGAACUUAAUCUGAAAAAAAAGCAAAAAAAGGAGUUCUGGCAUCCUAAGGUGGUGUUCAGCAAAGGGCAGUGUCAGGACAGUACCUCAGCUGAAGACCUUCAGGUCCAUGGAAGACAGUGCAUGGAUUAUUCUGAAGAAUGACUUUCCGACAAUCUGCCCCCAGCUGUGUGUUGCAAUGCACGUGGCGGAGCUGCGCUUCCAAAGAGGCUGGCUCAGUGGGGCUGCGGUGAUGUCUCCUUCCAGGUCCCAGCAUGGAUGACCCUGUUCUUCUUGGAGAUAUUGCUGCUCUUUCCUGGAUCAUCUUGGAGAGGUUCCAUCGAGACUCCCUGGGCUCACUUGGAACUCAUUACCAAAUGUCUAUGCCUCCACGCCUGUCCCCUCAGCCCGCACAGACACAGCCAGCAGCCCAGAACUGCCAGCUGGCUCACCACCGAAAUGAGGGUGAGCACCGGUAAGGAAAGAAAGCCAUCCAAGGCGUCACUUCCCUGCCCUCCUCAGAGAGGACAGCCGGGCCAUUCUCGUGAUUAAACCGACUAACCACCCCCGCCGGCUCUGUGAUGGCUUCUCCUGACCAUGGUGGUUGCUGAUUAAAGAGAAGCUGGAUUUUCUUAGAAGAAACUUAAAACUAUAUAGAGAAAGAGAGAUGGGGUGAGGGCCUCAACUGCAAUGUUCUUGGUGGGAACCACAGUUUCCUCAACCCAUCUUCACUCUCAUGACACCCAGCGCCCCAGACGCCCAGGAGACAGCCCAGAGGACACAUGCUAUUGCCCAGUAAGUGCACGUGUCUUGGGGGCACAGCGCUCUAGCCCUGCUCUCACCCAGCUUGUAUGGAUUCCUCCUGAGUGUCAGGCACCAUGCUGGGCCCUGAGGGCAAAAGCGAGCUGUGUCAGGCUGCAUCUCCCACUGGGAGGCUGGCCAGCACGCUGGGAGCGUAUCAGGGAGGGUUUCAGGCAAUCCUCCCAGGUUCUUCCAUGCUGCAAAGCCACCUGUGUGUCUUGCUUUAUAGACUGCAGAACUGCAGCUCGGCCUCAAAGGCUACCGUGUGUCCCUCGGGCUUGGGAGCAAUGACCUGUGUGCUGGCAGCUCUCCCAGCAGGAAUAGGAAGGCUGUACUUCAAAUACGGUUUCCUGUAAAAAAAAUAAUAAUAAUAAUAAUUGAAAUCAGGCAUUACCCUGGUGUUUACCAUCUGUGUGCCUGCCUUUUGUGGCCUGGACUCUUGGCUCUCACUGGAGUUGCUGCUGAAAAGCUGAUGACUCAGCAUAGCAGUGGCUCAGGAUUUCUGUGUGGGGGGUGGCAUUGUGGUCAAGGGUAGGGCUCCUGUUUAUUGGGCACACUGGUUAUUUGGGGGAUGCUGAUGGAGACUGUGGGAGGGUUCAACCCUCUCCCACCACCCCCACCUUGGCAGCUCCCCAAACGGAGCCUUUGUUCCAGGAGCAAAGGCAGCCCUGGGGGUCAGGAGAGCUGCAGCCUGGUUCCGGGUCUAAUUAGCUGCGGGACUUUGCACGACCCCAGAAUUUUUCGAAGCCUUGGGAUUCCCAUCUGUAAAGAGAUUGGGUUUGGACCACGUCGUCUCUAAAAUCCCUCCCAGUGAUUCUAGGCCUUGGAGGAAGGAAACUGUAUUGGAGAUACGGUCCCCAACCCUGAAAAAGCUAAUGAUGGUGAAAAUAUAGCUCCAAAGAAAAAUCGCAUGAAACAACAAAUGGCGAAAGUAACGAGUUCCUGCUUUUUGUCCACUAACAUCUAUCACCACUACUUCUGGCAACAGCCCCUAAUUUCCAUUUGGGAAGCUCAUGAGGUUCUGCUUGCAGGGGUGGAGGCCACAACCUAAAAUAUAUCCUGAGUCUGGCCACUUCUCACCAGCUCUACCGCUACACUUUUCCCAGCCACUACUGUCUGUCCCUGCUUCCCCCCACCCCGCCCUCUCCACACAGCAGCAAGGGGAUCUUUUCAUUGCUACCUAUUUAAUAUGUGUGGGGUUUUUUUUGAUUGAGACAUAAUUGACAUACAACAUUGUGUACGUUUAAGGUGUACAAUGUUGGUUGGAUACAUUUAUAUAUUUCAAUAUGAUUACUACUGUAGCAUUAG